rnacentral:rRNA from 1 species
GUCGUCGAACGUCGAGUCCGAGAUCGUACAAGGUAACCCGGGCGGCCCCUCGAGCAAAUGAAGAAGCUUGCUUCUUUGAGAACGAAGGACGGGUGAGUAAUGCCUAGGAAUCUGCCUGGUAGUGGGGGAUAACGUUCGGAAACGGACGCUAAUACCGCAUACGUCCUACGGGAGAAAGCAGGGGACCUUCGGGCCUUGCGCUAUCAGAUGAGCCUAGGUCGGAUUAGCUAGUUGGUGGGGUAAUGGCUCACCAAGGCGACGAUCCGUAACUGGUCUGAGAGGAUGAUCAGUCACACUGGAACUGAGACACGGUCCAGACUCCUACGGGAGGCAGCAGUGGGGAAUAUUGGACAAUGGGCGAAAGCCUGAUCCAGCCAUGCCGCGUGUGUGAAGAAGGUCUUCGGAUUGUAAAGCACUUUAAGUUGGGAGGAAGGGUUGUAUAUUAAUACUCUGCAAUUUUGACGUUACCGACAGAAUAAGCACCGGCUAACUCUGUGCCAGCAGCCGCGGUAAUACAGAGGGUGCAAGCGUUAAUCGGAAUUACUGGGCGUAAAGCGCGCGUAGGUGGUUAGUUAAGUUGGAUGUGAAAUCCCCGGGCUCAACCUGGGAACUGCAUUCAAAACUGACUGACUAGAGUAUGGUAGAGGGUGGUGGAAUUUCCCUGUGUAGCGGUGAAAUGCGUAGAUAUAGGAAGGAACACCAGUGGCGAAGGCGACCACCUGGACUGAUACUGACACUGAGGUGCGAAAGCGUGGGGAGCAAACAGGAUUAGAUACCCUGGUAGUCCACGCCGUAAACGAUGUCAACUAGCCGUUGGGAGCCUUGAGCUCUUAGUGGCGCAGCUAACGCAUUAAGUUGACCGGCCUGGGGAGUACGGCCGCAGGUUAAAACUUCAAUUGAAUGGACGGACCGCACAAGCGGUGGAGCCAUGUGG